rnacentral:rRNA from 1 species
CACGUAGGGUGCAAGCGUUGUCCGGAAUCAUUGGGCGUAAAGAGCUCGUAGGCGGCUUAGUAAGUCGGGUGUGAAACCUCCAGGCUCAACCUGGAGACGCCACCCGAUACUGCUAUAGCUAGAGUCCAGUAGGGGAGUGCGGAAUUCCCGGUGUAGCGGUGAAAUGCGCAGAUAUCGGGAGGAACACCAGCGGCGAAGGCGGCACUCUGGGCUGGAACUGACGCUCAGGAGCGAAAGCGUGGGUAGCGAACAAGG